CUCCCCUCACCAUGGAGUCUCCCCUCACCAUGGAGUCUCCCCUCACCAUGGAGUCUCCCAUCAUCAUCAACCCAGGAUCUUCUUCUGCUCUCUUGAAUUGGGAGACUUUGUCCUCGAAUUCCAUGAGUGGGAGCACCCAAUCAGAAUUGCCUGUAUCUGGAUGAUGUCUGUCAUUUAUCUACCUCCCAGACUUGUUGGGAUCAUCAGGUGAGGUGACGGACAUGAAAAUGCUUUGUCAACAGGAAUGUGCCAUAAAGAUACAAGAUUCGCCCUGAGCUAACAACUGCUGCCAAUCUUUCUCUUUUUCUCUACGACCCGCUGCUACAGCAUGGCCACUGACAGAUGACUGGAAUAUGGACCAUCACAAUUUCUAUCAUAAUAUUGUAUUGCCC
rnacentral:lncRNA from 1 species